rnacentral:rRNA from 1 species
UACGAAGGGGGCUAGCGUUGCUCGGAAUCACUGGGCGUAAAGCGCACGUAGGCGGAUCUUUAAGUCAGGGGUGAAAUCCCAAGGCUCAACCUUGGAACUGCCUUUGAUACUGGGGAUCUCGAGUCCGGAAGAGGUUGGUGGAACUCCGAGUGUAGAGGUGAAAUUCGAUAGAUAUUCGGAAGAACACCAGAUGGCGCAAGGACGGCCGAACCUGGAUCCG